GCUUGGAUGGUAUAGGGGCAUUAUGAUCGCCUGCCACGCGGUAGACCCGGGUUCGAUUCCCGGUCCAAGCA